rnacentral:rRNA from 1 species
GAUGAACGCUGGCGGCGUGCAUAACACAUUCAAGUCGAACGGAGUUACUGGAGAGCUUGCUCAAAGGUAACUUAGUGGCGGACGGGUGAGUAACGCGUGAGCAACCUGCCUUGGCAUGGGGAUAACGUUUGGAAACGAACGCUAAUACCGCAUAUCGCAUAGACCUCGCAUGGGGAUUAUGCAAAAGAUUUAUUGUGCUAAGAUGGGCUCGCGUCCCAUUAGAUAGUUGGUGAGGUAACGGCCCACCAAGUCGACGAUGGGUAGCCGAACUGAGAGGUUGAACGGCCACAUUGGAACUGAGAUACGGUCCAGACUCCUACGGGAGGCAGCAGUGGGGAAUAUUGGGCAAUGGGCGAAAGCCUGACCCAGCGACGCCGCGUGAGGGAAGAAGGUCUUCGGAUUGUAAACCUUUGUUGAUAGGGACGAAGAAAUGACGGUACCUAUCGAGGAAGCCACGGCUAACUACGUGCCAGCCGCCGCCGUAAAAC